GACGAACGCUGGCGGCGUGCUUAACACAUGCAAGUCGAACGGAAAGGCCCUGCUUUUGUGGGGUGCUCGAGUGGCGAACGGGUGAGUAACACGUGAGUAACCUGCCCUUGACUUUGGGAUAACUUCAGGAAACUGGGGCUAAUACCGGAUAGGAGCUCCUGCUGCAUGGUGGGGGUUGGAAAGUUUCGGCGGUUGGGGAUGGACUCGCGGCUUAUCAGCUUGUUGGUGGGGUAGUGGCUUACCAAGGCUUUGACGGGUAGCCGGCCUGAGAGGGUGACCGGCCACAUUGGGACUGAGGUACGGACCAGUCUCCUACGGGAGGCAGCAGUGGGGAAUAUGGCACAAUGGGCGGAAGUGUGAUACAGCAACGCCGGGUGCGGGAUGACGGCCUUCGGGUUGUAAACCGCUUUCGCCUGUGACGAAGCGUGAGUGACGGUAAUGGGUAAAGAAGCACCGGCUAACUACGUG
rnacentral:rRNA from 1 species